UACGUAGGCAGCGAGCGUUGUUCGGAAUUACUGGGCGUAAAGAGUGUGUAGGCGGUGCUCUAAGUUCGGUGUGAAAUCUCCUGGCUCAACUGGGAGGGUGCGCCGGAAACUGGAGUGCUUGAGCGUGGGAGAGGAAAGCGGAAUUCCUGGUGUAGCGGUGAAAUGCGUAGAUAUCGGGAAGAACACCCGUGGCGAAGGCGGCUCUCUGGGACGGUACUGGACGCUG
rnacentral:rRNA from 1 species